GAUGAACGCUGGCGGCGUGCCUAAUACAUGCAAGUCGAACGCGAGAGGAGGGAGCUUGCUCCCUCUGAUCGAGUGGCGGACGGGUGAGUAACACGUAGGCAACCUGCCCAUCAGCCGGGGAUAACUGCGGGAAACCGUGGCUAAUACCGGAUAAUCCUCUCCACCGCGGGGUGGGGAGUUGAAAGACGGUUUCGGCUGUCGCUGAUGGAUGGUCCUGCGGCGCAUUAGCUGGUUGGCGGGGUAACGGCCCACCAAGGCAACGAGGCGUAGCCGUACUGGGAGGGUGAGCGGCCACCUUGGGACCGAGGCACGGCCCAGUCUCCCCCGCGAAGCAACAGUAGGGAAUCUUGCGCAAUGGAUGCAAGUCUGACGGAGCAACGCCGCGUGAGUGAAGAAGGGUCUCGGCGCGUAAAACUCUGUUGUUAAGGAAGAACGCCAGGUAGAGUAACUGCUACCUGUGUGACGGUACUUAACCAGAAAGCCACGGCUAACUACGUGCCAGCCGCCGCCGUAA
rnacentral:rRNA from 1 species